GCGUGGCGCGCAGGUGCUGGCUCCGGGCGGCGCGGGGCGAGGGCGGCCCGCUUGCCAUGACCGGCGGGCCCUAUGCGGAGCGCGGGGCGCUGUGCAGGACCGCGGCGGGGCGGCGGUUCCCAGGGGGCCAGGGCUUUCCCGAAGGAGCUGGCGGGGGGCACCCGGCCCGUCCCGAGCCGCAGCGCACGGGCAGCCGCCGCCGCUGUCACCGGCAUGUCCGCGGGACGGCUCCUGCCUGCGCGCCCGGGAGGCUCCCUGCAAGGCUCGCCCCGGCGGCAGGAGCCCUGACGGAGGCGGCGAAGCUCGGCCGGGUUUGAAAGUUUGCCAGGCACCCGCUAGUUUGAAUCGCUGUCAGGAGCCGCGGGGCGGCGGGGGGCCGUUCCCCAGCAUGGGAGACCGGCGGCCGGAGACUCACGCCAGCUCUUCCCCUGCCGUGGCUGCCAGCUCCGAGGCGGAAGAAAUAGAGGUUUUGGAGUCGGAGGAUGUCUUGCCUAUGGCCACGGAGGAUCACUGGAAAGCUCUGUUUGAUCAGUUUGACCCCGAGAGCACUGGCUACAUCAGCACUGAGAAAUUCCGAAACCUCCUCCAAAGACACGGCUCUGAGCUGGACCCACACAAACUGGAGGUUCUCUUGGCCUUGGCAGACAAUAAUUCAGAUGGGAAGAUCUGUUACCAGGACUUCGUCAACCUGAUGAGCAACAAAAGGUCCAAUAGCUUCCGCCAAGCCAUUCUGCAGGGGAACAGGAGGCUGUGCAGCAAGGCACUGCUGGAGGAGUCGGGACUAAGCCUGUCUCAGAGGCUAAUUCGACACGUUGCUUAUGAGACCCUGCCACGCGAGAUAGACCGGAAGUGGUACUACGAUAGUUACACCUGCUGUCCUCCGCCCUGGUUCAUGAUUGCCAUCACCAUUGUAGAGGUUGCCUUUUUUCUUUACAACGGAGUGGUAUUAGACAGAUUUGUGCUGCAAGUCACCCAUCCUUUAUACCUGAAGAACUCAUUAGUGUAUCAUCCUCAGCUCCGUGCUCAGGCUUGGAGGUACCUAACCUACAUAUUCAUGCAUGCCGGGAUAGAACACCUUGGACUCAAUAUUGCUCUUCAGCUUCUGGUUGGGGUUCCUCUUGAAAUGGUGCAUGGAGCAGCAAGGAUUGGCUUUGUCUACAUUGCUGGAGUUGUAGCAGGUUCCCUGGCCGUAUCGGUAGCUGACAUGACUGCGCCAGUGGUGGGUUCCUCUGGAGGGGUUUAUGCGCUCAUUUCUGCUCAUCUGGCCAACAUAGUAAUGAACUGGUCUGGAAUGAAGUGCCAAUUCAAGCUGCUGCGCAUGGCUCUUGCGUUGAUCUGUAUGAGCUUUGAAUUUGGAAGGGCUGUGUGGCUGCGGUUCCAUCCAUCUGCUUACCCCCCAUGUCCACACCCAAGCUUCGUUGCCCACCUGGGCGGGGUAUUGGUUGGAAUCACAUUGGGUGUGGUCAUCCUAAGGAACUAUGAGCAGAGACUCCAAGACCAGUCCUUAUGGUGGAUCUUUAUUUUUAUUUACGUCGUCUUUGUAUUGUUCGCCGUCUUUUGGAAUGUUUUUGCCUACAAUCUGUUGGAUCUGAAGCUACCUCCACCUCCGUGAGAGCCUGGGACAGAGAACUCUGGAGGGCAAAAGACUUUUCCAUCUGCCAGCUAUGUUAAAUGAAUCGAAACCAAGGAUUUAUUUUUAUAUGACGAUUAGGGGAUAAGUAAAUGGUCUUCUGAAAAUGCACAAGUUAAGGAAACGUGUGGCAUCAUUUCUGGCUAACUGUACUGUAUGCUGAUGAAGAUGAUUUAAGCUAAAAUCUAACAGUAGAACUGAUCUGAGAGAAGUUUGGGCAUGAGUCAUACAGAUGAUGCCAGUGCUGAUGCUGAAGGCUGUGUCCUCCUCCCAAGUGUUAACUCAGUGAUGUUCUUCAUGUCAUUUUAAUCCCUGCUGUUUGGAUAAAACACUCUCCAUGGUGAAAGCCUGACUCCACUAAACUCAAUGGCAAAGCUCCCAUCGACUUCACUGCGGUCAGGGUUUCACCCCAUCUGUUUUUAGGGUAUUAAAUUAGCCUUAUCUGCAAAGGAAACUUUUAUUUCCCCUUCUUCAUGCGCAAUAUAUGAAAGUUUUGAAGGCUAUUGCAAUAGCAACAAAAUUGUUCCCCUUAGUCUGAAGCAUGGUUCAUAGGACGCCACUUCAAGGAAGCCUUGUAAUAGGAAAGCAUAAGGCCUAUCGUUUGAGAGCACUUGUGGGUUUCUUUGGUAUGGGUCCAAUUCCAAGUUCCAUUUUAUCCCUGGAGUUCGGAGCCAGCUCUAAACAAUCACAUGUGCAAGAGUUUGGAUCCAUUGUUCCAGGUCAGAGAUCAUUCUAGGUGUUUCAUAGUGAGAGAUGCAGUGUAGUUAUAGCUGUGUCAGUCGCAGGAUAUUAGGGAGGCAAGGUGAGUGAGAUAAAUAAAAGAUUGCCUCACUCAUCUUGUGUCAUAAUGAUAGAGACAGCAUCCUUGAGUGGGUGGGAGAGCAGGGAGAGAGGAAUAACUAGAGAUUAGAUAAUUAGUUGCUAAAAACAUUGUUCAGAUUGAAGGAGGAGGACAUCUCUGUUUCAAUCCCCUUCUCUGGAUAUUGCUAAAUCAUACCUUUUACAAAUGCCUUUAAACUAGAGCUGGUCAGAAAAUGGAGUUUUCCACAUGGAAUAUUGUGAUAAAAAUGAAAAAAAAAAUUCAUUGACGUUUUCAGCAGAAAAAAUGACUUUUCAUCAACAAAACAAAAAACAAUUUUUAGUCCAAACUUCCAAAAAAACAGAUUUUUUUUGUCCAAAAACU